GACGAACGCUGGCGGCGUGCUUAACACAUGCAAGUCGAGCGGUAAGGCCCUUUCGGGGGUACACGAGCGGCGAACGGGUGAGUAACACGUGGGUGACCUGCCCUCAGCUCUGGGAUAAGCCUGGGAAACCGGGUCUAAUACCGGAUAUGACUCCAUGACGCAUGUUGUGGGGUGGAAAGCCUUGUGCGGCUGAGGAUGGGCCCGCGGCCUAUCAGCUUGUUGGUGGGGNGAUGGCCUACCAAGGCGACGACGGGUAGCCGGCCUGAGAGGGCGACCGGCCACACUGGGACUGAGACACGGCCCAGACUCCUACGGGAGGCAGCAGUGGGGAAUCUUGCGCAAUGGGCGAAAGCCUGACGCAGCGACGCCGCGUGAGGGAUGACGGCCUGG
rnacentral:rRNA from 1 species